rnacentral:lncRNA from 1 species
UCGAUUGAUAGUAAAUUUAUGGUUGAAUUUUUGUAAGAUAAAGUUUAAGAUUGAAUUCUAUGAGAUCCGUGAAUUUGGUAAAAUCUGAACAGUUGAAUCAAGACAUAUAAAUUUCUAAAGUUUAAGAAGAAGAAAUCCUUUACGAAAAUAUUAUAUUUUGAAGGAAUUUUAUUAUAACUUGAAUAUUUUAUAUAAAAUAAAGGAGUAUUUUGAGAGCCAAGAUUAUAUAUA